rnacentral:lncRNA from 1 species
UCUGGUUGGUGUCUCCGAGUCUAUUUGUCAACUAUGACGAGCCAAUCUUUAUAUGUCCAUGGUCCUCCAUCAUAGACGGUGUGAAAUUGAUGCUUAUCUUUGAAGAAGAAUUGGACAGAUCCAUCUUCGUUGAUUCUUCCAUUGAUUCUCCCUUCAAGACCCCAAAUUUUGGGCAUCAUGAACUUAAUUCCAGCAGGAUUUUGUGAAGGAUGGAUACCUUUAACCACAAGACUGAGGUUAUGUUCUUCAUCUCUUUUCCUUCUGGCUUCAUUAGAUAGAUGUAGUGAGUUUUGUUCUGCUCCUAAAUUGAGGUUUUGGAGUUUGAUCCAUAUGUUUGU